CAUGAUUAGCCUAGCUAGGAUUGUUUAGAGGGUAGUCGCAGUCGCCCCAACUCCGACUUGCAAAAAACUUUGUUUUGUAAGUAGGGUGAGAAACAACUUUUUGUUGGAAACUUUAAUCUUUUUAAGAGAUUAGAGAACUGU
rnacentral:sRNA from 12 species